GCAAGGUCCAGUAAGAGUCAGUGCUCGGAGGAGCUGCCUAUGAGAAACAUCAAGGAGCUCAACCACCUGCAGGUUCUCCACCUGGGCCCAGCUCUACAAGCAGGUUUGCUGCCUGUCCCUGCCCCAGGAAAAGGGUCUCAGUGAAGUCUGCUCUGCAUUGACCACAGGAAAGGCUCCUCAGCUUCCCAGAAGAGAAAUCCUGGCAAAGGGAAUUUCCCAGGAAGUGUGACUGUGAUAAAAGAGGUGUUCAAGAUGGAAUUUGGGCUCUGAUGCUGCACACUCUGUUCCCUUGAGAUCUUCCAAGAGAUAAGGAUUUCCAGCUUCCUGUUUUGUUUAUCCUAGAAUCUGUCAAUGACCUGAAAGGAGGAUAAUCUUGUCUGUCGUCUUCUCUCAAAAGUCCAAGAAAAAUGAGUGCAUCAGAUAAAGCUCAUGUCUUACAUGAUUGUUUUUGUGUCAAGUUUUGGAUACACCCAUGCCGUUUUUUGGAUAUUUUCAGCUGAGGAUUCAUUGUACUCCUGUUACUCUGUGCCCCUGGAAAGGACUGGAAGAAGAUUAUCUGCCUUUCACAGAAGAAAGCAUUACAAGUAUCAAAUGUGUGCUGUUCUCUUGGUGAUGUGAUUUGGCUGUUCAACCCUGACUGCGAGAUGCCUGCUCCUGUGGAUG